AGUGGGGAAUAUUGGACAAUGGGCGCAAGCCUGAUCCAGCCAUACCGCGUGGGUGAAGAAGGCCUUCGGGUUGUAAAGCCCUUUUGUUGGGAAAGAAAUCCAGCUGGCUAAUACCCGGUUGGGAUGACGGUACCCAAAGAAUAAGCACCGGCUAACUUCGUGCCAGCAGCCGCGGUAAUACGAAGGGUGCAAGCGUUACUCGGAAUUACUGGGCGUAAAGCGUGCGUAGGUGGUCGUUUAAGUCCGUUGUGAAAGCCCUGGGCUCAACCUGGGAACUGCAGUGGAUACUGGACGACUAGAGUGUGGUAGA
rnacentral:rRNA from 1 species